AAGUGAAAACUGGGUGAGACCAAUGUCCCUGCCAGUCAUCAGGCAGCAACCAGAGCAAGUUAGCUGGCCGGACGAGCUGGAAAGCAUGUGCAAAAUUACCUCAGCUGCUUUUCCUUCUCCUAAGCACUGCUGGUUCCCAGGAUCCAGUCCUGCAUCUGUCUCACUCCAGACCACAUGUAUUUGAAGCCGCUUCCCGCUCUUGGCCCUUCAGGUGACUCUGGAAACCUUCCCGUUCCUUGGGCCCCUUUCUGCAAACCAAGGGAAGUCCUUGCAACGUUUCAUCUGUUGCUGACCUCAGCCAAGUCCCUUCCAGUCCUUGCACAGUGUGUUCCCUUGAUGACAAGAAGCCUGGAGAAGGUAGCAGCUUUGCUUGCUUCUGCCUGAGACUUUCCAAUCUUUGUUCUUUCCCGGUUCCCCUUCCCAUCUGUCGCUUGACACCGUGCAACUGAUUACCUUUCUCUAACUGCCUUGGAAAACAGCUUGUAGUUUUUUUUUUAAAGUCUUUAAAUAAAAUAAAGCUCCAUUUCUCU
rnacentral:lncRNA from 1 species